CCAGUUUCUUAACAUGAAGCUGAGUUCAUUGAUUUGAGACUGCUGUUCAAGAAUUCUUAUUACAAAAUGUCUCCUCAGUGCUAUUUUAGCAGCCUCCCACAAAUUUGAUGUGUGUGUUUUCAUGUUUAUUCAUUUCUAAAUAGUUUCUAACUUCCUUUUUGAUUGCUUUUGUGAGCCAUGGCUUAUAUAGGAGUGUGUUAUUUAGCUUAGCAUAUGGAGGUUCCCAGGCUAGGGGUCGAAUCGGAGCUGUAGCUGCCAGCCUACGCCAGAGCCAUAGCAACGCAAGAUCUGAGCCGCGUCUGCAACCUACACCACAGCUCACAGCAACGCCAGAUUGUUAACCCAUUGAGCAAGGGCAGGGAUCAAACCCGCAACCUCAUGGUUCCUAGUUGUAUUCGGUAACCCAUUCCUUUAUAUUAUUAAUUGACCUGAAAUGUAAUUAUUUUGAUAAUAAUAUAACCACUCCAGUUUUCUUUUGAUUAGAAGUAGCACAGUGUAUCUUUUAUCUACUCUUGUUUUUUUCAUUUAAAAAUUAUUUCAUAGUAGGGUAUGAUCAUGAAAUCAAGCAAAGGAUCAGUGUAAUGUCUAAUUUUGCUUACAGUCUAUUCCUGGGAUUUCAGGGUAUCUGCUUGUUGUGUGUGUGUUUGCACCUGAAUGAAUUCUUAAAAUUCUUUUGUUCUCUUAAUGGUUUUUCUCACAUAUUCCUGGUUCAUAGGAGGUACUCAGUAAAUAUUUGUUAAAUUUGAAAAGUUUUGUGUAUUACCUGCAAAAAGAAAAAGAGACUUUCUGUCCUUUUAACCUACUUGUGUCUUUAUAUUUAAAGCAUAUUUCUUGUUGACAUCAUUUUUAUUGGAUCUUGCUAUUUUACCCAGUCUGACAGUCCCUAAUUUUCACAUACUGUCCGCAUUUGAUAUGAAUAUUAAUAUGUAAGAUUUAAAUCUGUCAUCUUACUAUUUGUUUUUCACUUGUCCCACCUGCUAUUCAUUCCCCUUCCCCUAGUUUUAGGCUUUCUUUUGGGUUAAUAAAAUGUUUCUUAUGAUUUCUUAUCUCUUUACCUAGAUUAUUUGCUAUAACUUUUUGCUUUGUUAUUUCUGUUUUUUGUUUUGUUUUGUUUUGUUGCUUUUUAGGGCUGUACCCUUGGCAUAGAGAAGUUCCCAGACUAGGAGUCGAAUCAGAGCUAUAGCUGUUGGCCUACACCACAGUCACAGCAAUGCAGGAUCCAAGCACAUCUGCAACCAACUCACGGCAGAUGCCGGAUCCUUAACCCCCUGAGCGAGGCCAAGGAUUGAACCCGCAACCUUAUGGUUACUAGUCAGAUUCAUUUCCACUGCACCACAACAGGAACUCCUUAAAGUUUUUUUUUUUUCCUUUUUAUAUUUCAGUGUUUUAUUUAGGGUACAUAGGAUAAUCUUUAACUUACCAUAGUCUACCUUCAAGUGGUAUUAUGCCUCUUCACAUACAGUAUAAAAAUUUGCAGUAGCAAAUUUCAUCUAUUUUUUCAUCUCUUCCAUUCCUUCUUCCCAACCUUUGUGCUUUUGUAACAUUUUUCUUUUACAUAUGUUAUUAACCCUAUAUUAUAUUAUUAUUUAAAUGUAUCAUGUUUAAAUUAUGCUAUACUAUAAUAUUCUCAUAGGUUUCCCGAUGUGAUUGUCAUUUCCUGUACUCCUCACUCCUUUCUAUAGGUCUAAAUUCUCUUCAGAUUUUAUUCUUUUUUGAAGGAGUUUAUGUAGCAUUUCUUUUAAGAUGAGUCUGAUGGUGAUGAAUACUUUUAGCUUUUGCAAGCAGAAAGUGUCUGUUUUUCCUAUUUUUUAUUAAUAUCCACUAUUUUUUGUUUUUAAUUUCACUGAUUUUUACUCUUAUUUUGUUUUUUUCACUCCUUCCUGUUGCUUUAGAUACUUUGCUUUUCUCUUUCUAGUUUAUUAAUAGAGGAAUUUAUAUUAUUAUUAUUUUUUGUUGUUGUUGGGUUUUUUUUGUUUUUUUUUUUUUUUUGUCUUUUUGCUAUUUCUUUGGGCUGCUCCCACAGCAUAUGGAGGUUCCGAGGCUAGGGGUCGAAUCGGAGCUGUAGCCACCAGCCUACGCCAGAGCCACAGCAACGCGGGAUCCGAGCCGCAUCUGCAACCUACACCGCAUGCAGCUCACGGCAAUGCCAGAUUGUUAACCCACUGAGCAAGGGCAGGGACAGAACCCGCAACCUCAUAGUUCCUAGUUGGAUUCGUUAACCACUGCGCCACUCCGGGAACUCCGGAAUUUAUAUUAUUGAUUUGAGAUAUUUCUUCUUCUCUAAUAUAAUCAUGUAGUGCUAUAAUUUUCCCUCUCAGCAGUGCCAUAGCUGUAUCUGACAUUUUAAUGUGUUGUAUUUUUAUUUUAUCCAGUUUUAUGUAUAUUUAUCUUUCUUUAUGAACCCUGUUAGCCUGUGGAUUGUUAUAUGUGUACUGUUUAAUUUUCAAGUGUUUGGAAAUUCCUGUUUUCUUUGUGUUAUCUUUUUAAGGUUUGUUUUAUGUACAUUGUAUAAUCUAUAUUAGUGAACACUGCAGAACAUUUGGGGAAAAAAUGUGUAUUCUGCUAAAGUGCUACCUAUCUCAGAUAUUGUUGGCUAAUUUUGUUUUUCAUUUUUUUCUAUACUCUUGUUGAUUUUCUGUCUCAUAGUUCUACCAAUUGCCAAGGGUGGAGUAUUGAAGUCUUCAACUAUAACUGUGGAUUGCCUCUCCUUCUGCUCUUUCAAGCUUUGUUUCGUGUAUUUUGAGGUUCUGUGUUGUGUGUACAUAUUUGAAGUUGUUAUGUCUUCGUGGUGGGUUGAUCCUUUCAUCAUUAUAUAAUGUCCUUCAUCUCUAGGAAACUUUGCUCUCAAGUCUACUUUAUCUGAUAGAGCUAUUCUUACUUAUAUGGUAUCUCCUCCCCCAGCCUUUCCCUUUCAGUUUAACCAUGCUCUAUUUGAAGUGAGCUUUUUGUAGAUGGCAUAUGUAGGGUCAUGGAAAUUUUGCUCUUGUCAUUGUUUGCUUAAUCCACUCUGCUUGAUGAAGGCAGAAGCCUAAGCUCUCCUCUGGACUUUGCUGGCUUGGGAAGAAGUAUGGUCACAGUCUUGCCCAUAGUGUUUGGCUGUUGUAGAGUAGUGUCUAAAUGUUUUUGUCUUGCCAGGCUGCUCCUUUUCAUGUCCUUUUGUUAGGGAAACAGGCUUUUAUGAGGGCCUUUCUUGUCUGUACCAUUGGCAUUUCCAGGUUGCCAGCUUUUCUGGCUCCAAAUCUGGGAUUUAAGUGGAAAGAAAAAAUACCAGGGAACUCACCACCAUGUCAUUCCUUGGGUCCCAAGUUCCCUAGUUGGUGUGCCACCUUCUUGCCACCUUAUGUUUAUUUUGCAUAUAAUGUUCAGGGGUUUUCAUUGUAGUGAGAAAAAUUGAGAAGAACUUGCCUACUCCAUCUUUCUAGAAGCACAUUUCUUCUCCCUUGUCUCUAAAAAGAUGUAUCAGUGGCUAUAGAAUUCUAGAUUGACUUUUUUUUUUUCUUUUAGCUCUUUAAAGAGACUGUUCCAUUUGUUUGUAUUAUUUCCUAUGAGAACUCUUAUCUAAUCCUUAUUUUUGUUUCUCUCUUCAUAAGGUAUCAUCUUCCUGUUAUUGAGUGAUUUGAUUAUACUCUGCUUUGGUGUGAUUUUACUUCAUGUUUUUUGUAUUUGGAGUUGAUUGAGAGUCUUGGACCUACUGGUUUAUCUCUUAAACAGUUCCUCUCCAGAAGCAGAAGUUCCAACCAAAAUUACGGCAAAUGCUAAAUAGCUGUUGUAGUUGAACUCUGGCUUAUUAGUCCCAUUUUGUUUAUUUGAUAUGUGCUUUGUACACUUUUUCCAGUGUUCUGUUUUAAAGCAUCAUUCCAAUACUUCCUGAAGUCAAAGGCUGAGCUCAUUUUUCUAAUGACAUGGAGAUAUCUUGACAGAACUGAGACUUGUCCUCCAGAGGAGAAUUUGCACAUGUUAGGAGCAUAGUCUUGGAACCAGGCUGACUUGGGUUUGAACUUUGUACCUCUUGCUUGUAGUUGUGAGAAUGUCCUUUAACCAUUUUGAGCCUCCAGUGUCUAAAAUGGGGAUGAUAAUCGUAUCUACUUCAUAGGGCUGAUAUGUGGAAUAGAUGUGGAACAUAGUUUAGCAGUCACAACAUGGUAGCUAUUAUUGCUGUUAGUAUCUUUAAAACAUAAUCUUUGGGAGUUCCUGUUGUGCCUCAUUGAUAAUGAACCUGACUGGUGUCCAUGAGGAUUUGUGGGUUUGAUUCCUGGCCCCACUCAGUGGGUUUAGGAUCUGGCGUUGCCAUGAGCUGUGGUGUAGGUCACAGAUGUGGCUUGGAUCUGACAGUCCUGUGGCUGUGGCGUAGGCCUGUAGCUGCAGCUCCAAUUCGACCCCUGGCCUGAGAAUUUCCAUAUGCUGCAGGUGUGGCC
ensembl:lncRNA